AUGAAGGGGUGGGCCUGGAGCGCCGGCUCGCUCCUCCAAGGCCGGAGAUCUGCCCCUCGCGACUUCUGGCAUUAACAGCUAGAGGUCGGAGGGGAAUAGGGUGGCAGAUGCUCCAACUCCAGUACCCCUCCACCUGGGAUCCCUUUGCAAAAUUUUCAUACUCAAGCUCCGUGAGGGCCCCCCACUUCCAAUUUGCCACAAAAAGUGUUCAUUUCUACCUUUAUCAGCCGGCUCCCCGGGAUCCUGCCACAUGCCCAUCAGGCCUCCCCACUUUCCAGGUCGCCCUGCACCUCUUAUAAGUUCUCUUAGGCGUCCAUCCACUGCCCUUCCACCCAGUCCAUCUAGCUUGGCCUUUCUGUGCACAUCCUCACUUUAGGCCCCCAGCUUGCCUCUCUUCCUCUUUCUCUUCCCCUCCCCGUGUCCUGCAGAUAGGGAUCACCAUGUCCUCCGAGAUCCUUCAGCUUCUCCAGUCUUACCUUUGUGUCCUCAUCCCCAUCAGCCCUUCUUGUAUGUCCCUCCCACAAAUACACUUGCAUUUAUUUGUCGUCUCCUCCCUAUAGCUCCCCCACCCGACUCUUCUCAAACCAUCUCUCUAGCUUCCUCUGCAAGAAUGAGAUGUCUUACAGACAUGGGAAUCGCCACUUUCAGGUUUUCUGUUAAAUGCCGCCCCCAGCCAGCCCUCCCAGUCGCAGGAGGCGCUGUCCGCUUUCCUAUCGCCUGCCACAGAGAUGGAUGCACCCGCUUUGGAAUCUGAUGUGGGAGGAAGGGGCAGGUCGAGGCUCCGGCUCGGGUUUAAGAAGCUAGUCGGUCCGGGCCAGGGGGAGCCUAGGCGAAGGGUUGUAGAGACUGCCCUCCUACUCGUCAGUUAGAAUAGUGCAGGGGCUGCUAGUCAAGACCUCUCUGGAGGCACGUGACUGAAAAGGUCCUUCCCUCUUCUCUCCCCGAGCAAGGUGUUCCGUUCCCAACCCCAGAACUGGCGGUAUCCCGGUCUCGCGGGCGUGAGGUGCCAGCGGAUCCGCCCCGAGGUUCAUGGAGGCGCCGGUCCGCCUGGGCCGGAAACGCCCGCUGCCGGUUUGCCCCAAUCCGCUCUUUGUACGCUGGCUGACCGAGUGGCGGGACGAGGCAGCCAGCAGGGGGCGCCGCACGCGCUUCGUGUUUCAGAAGGCACUGCGCUCCCUCCGGCGGUACCCGCUGCCCCUGCACAGCGGGAAGGAAGCUAAGAUCCUCCAGCACUUUGGAGACGGGCUCUGCCGAAUGCUGGAUGAGCGACUACAGCAGCACCAAGCCUCGGGUGGUGAUCAUGCCCCUGGCUCACUAUCUGGAGAGAAGAGCCCAGCCCAGGACUCUCCCAUGCCAGUGAGGAGGAGCAAGGUUCCUGCCCAGCGCCAAACAGGAGGCUCUAGUGGCUAUUUGCCACCUCGAAACUCAGGAGCCCGAGUGGUCCUGCUGCAACUCUACUGGCAGCACCUGGAUUCUGAUGGUCAUAGCUUCCUAACCAAGGAGGAGCUGCUACAGAGGUGUGCCAAGAAGGACCCCAGGAUAGACCCCAGGAGUUCUCAACCCUGGCCAGCCCUUCGUUCCCUCCUGCACAGAAACCUGGUCCUCAGGACACACCAGCCAGUCAGGUACUCGCUGACCCCAGAGGGCCUGGAGCUGGCCCAGAAGUUGGCUGAGUCAGAAAGCCUGAGCUUGCUGAAUGUGGGCACUGGGCCCAAGGAGCCCCCUGGGGAGGAGCCAGCACUGCCAGGAGCAGCCUUGGCUGAGCUUGGCGCCAGUGAAGGGGGUGUCCAGCAGCCGACUCUAGAGCUGGGGCCUGCAGAGUACAGGGUGCUGUUGUGUGUGGACAUUGGUGAGACCAGGGGGGUGGGACACAGGCCAGAGCUGCUCCGAGAGCUACAGCGCCUGCAUGUGAACCACGUGGUGCGCAAGCUACACAUUGGGGACUUUGUGUGGGUAGCACAGGAGACCAGGCCCAGAGACUCAGCAAGACCUGCAGAGUUAGUGCUGGACCACAUCGUGGAGCGCAAGCGGCUGGACGACUUAUGUAGCAGCAUCAUCGACGGCCGCUUCCGGGAACAGAAGGUCUCUUCAGUGUUCCGACUGAAGCGCUGUGGCCUGGGGCGCCGGGUAUACCUGGUGGAAGAACAUGGCUCAGUCCACAACCUUAGCCUCCCUGAGAGCACACUGCUGCAGGCUGUCACCAACACCCAGGUCAUCGAUGGCUUCUUUGUGAAGCGCACAGCAGACAUUAAGGAGUCGGCUGCCUACCUAGCCCUUCUGACACGGGGCCUGGAGAGACUAUACCAGGGCCACACCCUACACAGCCGCCCCUGGGGAAGCCCAGGGGACCCUGAAUCAGGAACCAGGCCCUCCCCAAACCCUCUCUGCUCACUUCUCACCUUCAGUGACUUCAACUCUGGAGCCAUCAAGAACAAGGCCCAGUCUGUUCGAGAGGUGUUUGCCCGGCAGCUGAUGCAGGUGGGUGGAGUGAGUGGGGAGAAGGCAGCAGCCCUGGUGGAUCGAUACAGCACCCCUGCCAGAAGGAAGGGCAGAAAGGAUGAAGCAGGGCCUCAAAUGCCGGAAGUGUGCAGCCUCCUGAGCCCUCUGUCCCAGGCUGACCCCCUCCUGCCUCAGCUCCCACAGCUGGCCUAGAUGGUCCGCCAUUUUAUUCCCCACUCCCAGCCUCCUGGCCGCUUAUGAUGCCUGUGCCACCCCCAAGGAACAGGAGAUGCUGCUAAGCACCAUCAAGUGUGGGCGUCUGCAGAGGAAUCUGGGGCCAGCUCUAAGCAGGACCUUGUCCCAGCUCUACUGCAGCUACAGCCCCCUGACCUGAGCUAUACUACAAAACAGAUCCCAACCCCCUUAACACCCCCUCCCAGGC